rnacentral:lncRNA from 1 species
GGGAGCAGCCAGGAGCAAGAGGGCAAACAGUGUGGAUCCGUGGACAGCACAGGCGUGGGCUGCAUGGGCUUUCCACAGUUCUCUGUGAACGUGUCUGCUCUUCCUCACAACUGUGAACCCCAUGGAAGAGCAUAAAUACUUGCAGAACUACAUCUUCUGGUCCGCCGCGACGUGGGCCGCCUAAUGACACUGCUGAUCAAACCUCAUGAGUACC